rnacentral:rRNA from 1 species
UUUCGAAUCAUUCACAAUGGGCGAAAGCCUGAUGGUGCGACGCCGCGUGAGGGAUGAAGGUCUUCGGAUCGUAAACCUCUGUCACCGGGGAAGAAACGCUAUGCGAUAAUAUCGCCUAGCCUGACUUAACCCGGAGAGGAAGCAGUGGCUAACUCUGUGCCAGCAGCCGCGGUAAUACAGAGACUGCAAGCGUUAUUCGGAUUCACUGGGCGUAAAGGGUGCGCAGGCGGCCGUGUGUGUGAGGUGUGAAAUCCCGGAGCUUAACUCCGGAACUGCGCCUCAAACUACACGGCUAGAGCAUUGGAGAGGGAAGUGGAAUUCACGGUGUAGCAGUGAAAUGCGUAGAUAUCGUGAGGAACACCAGAGGCGAAGGCGACUUCCUGGACAAUUGCUGACGCUCAGGCACGAAAGCGUGGGGAGCAAAAG